GAUGGCGACCGGCGCACGGGUGAGUAACGCGUAUCCAACCUUCCCCUUACUAGAGGAUAGCCCGGCGAAAGUCGGAUUAAUACUCUAUGUUCUCCUUAGCAGGCAUCUAACGAGGAGCAAAGAUUCAUCGGUAAGGGAUGGGGAUGCGUCUGAUUAGCUUGCCGGCGGGGUAACGGCCCACCGGGGCAACGAUCAGUAGGGGUUCUGAGAGGAAGGUCCCCCACAUUGGUACUGAGACACGGACCAAACUCCUACGGGAGGCAGCAGUGAGGAAUAUUGGUCAAUGGGCGGAAGCCUGAACCAGCCAAGUAGCGUGCAGGAAGACUGCCCUAUGGGUUGUAAACUGCUUUUAUGCGGGAAUAAAGUUCACUACGUGUAGUGUUUUGUAUGUACCGCAUGAAUAAGGACCGGCUAAUUCCGUGCC
rnacentral:rRNA from 1 species